rnacentral:tRNA from 1 species
GGAGGGAUCGCAUAGUGGCCGAGUGCGCCCGCCUGCUAAGCGGGUAGGGGGCGAAAGCUCCCUCGUGGGUUCGAAUCCCACUCCCUCCG